rnacentral:rRNA from 1 species
CACUACCGUGAAUACGUUCCCGGGUCUUGUACACACCGCCCGUCAAACCAUGAAAGUCACCAAUACCUGACGUCCAACCUUGCGUUGGCCUAAGGUAGGGGGGAUGAGUUGGGGUU